rnacentral:lncRNA from 1 species
CAACAAUACUGCUCAGUGCAUUAACCAGACCUGAAAAAAAAACACUGCUCAAGGCAAACUUUUGGGACAGAGUGCUGCAUACAUGGGCUUAUGCACAAACUGAGAUUUUGCAAGUCAACUGUCAAAGUCAUAAAGAGAGAUAUUGGACAAUGUUGAACAGAGUUGAAGUCCUGGAAUCUCGGUCAACUGCAGAUAGCAGCAUGGCGUAAGGCAGACGUCUUGUUUCCCAGUCCAGUUUUAGUCAGGUAUUCUUGGUGGUAUGAAACUGCAGUCAACACAGGUUUUCAGAGGUCUGCAAGUACAGAGUUUUAAAUUGUGAAACAAAAUCUCUAACCAGAUCACAGAGUGUGUGUGUGUGUUAUGCUGUGCUGAGAUAUUGCUGUGACAUAUGGUGGAUUAAGGUCCACAACCUGGUAUGCAUAAUUUGUAUUUGUAACCUUUAAUUAAUUGCAUAGCAAUGUACAUUUGAGUUUACACACUUCCUGAAGUAUAUGUAUUUUAGCUGUAAUAUGCCACUACACACACAUGUAUAUGUUUGAGCCUGAGAUGUCAUUAUUUGAUUAAGAGAUAUGCUUAAUAUGAACUGUACGGUAUUUUCUGUAACAACUUUGUGUCUUACAUGAUUGUAAGUACUUAUAGUAAGUAUUGUUCAUAUGUAUUUUCAGGAUGCGUUAUACUAAAUACUAUGGAGAUACUAAUAUUAAAAUAGUAAAACUACAAUUGGUAAAUUGCUUGUUGACCUUAACAAAGGAAUGAGAAGAACCCAUCCCCAUAAACACAAUUAGUUUUUACAGCCAAUCAUUAUGGCAUCCUAUAGAAACUAACAGAGU